UCACAAUCCAAAAUCUUCAGCCAUUUUUUAAAAACUUGUUUUAGCUGUAUGCUUCAGCUAUAAAGCAGUGGAUGAACAGAUGCUAUUUAUCUGGAACCACUGGCUUUGCCAAUAUUUUUUAAGUUAGAACUAUUUCUAUUGUUCUAUUUCCUCUUUUUUUAACUGUGAUACAACACACAUAAAAUUUACCACUACUGACAUCCAGUACACUGUUGUGCGAUUUGCCAAUAUGCUGCCAGACUACUUAUCCUAAAAAUCGUCAAAUAUAAUGCACAGAAUGGAAGGAAAAAAAGGUAAAGGUUAUUAACCUUAAAAUGUCUCUCAAGAAAAAGGAAAAAUAACUUCUUCAUUCUCAAAUUUUAU
rnacentral:lncRNA from 1 species